UGAUCAUGACUCAGGAUGAACGCUGGCGGCGUGCUUAACACAUGCAAGUCGAACGAAGCACCUUGAUUCGAUUCUUCGGAUGAAGAUCUUGGUGACUGAGUGGCGGACGGGUGAGUAACGCGUGGGUAACCUGCCUCAUACAGGGGGGAUAACAGUUAGAAAUGACUGCUAAUACCGCAUAAGACCACAGCACCGCAUGGUGCAGGGUAAAAACUCCGGUGGUAUGAGAUGGACCCG
rnacentral:rRNA from 1 species